rnacentral:tRNA from 1 species
GACUUUAGUUAAAGAAAAAUAUAACAACAGCUUGUCAGGCUAUAGGUAUCAUAAGAUAAGUCUUU